rnacentral:lncRNA from 1 species
UUUUUUUUUUUUGCUUGAAGGACUUUGCACAUGCUGUUCCCUGUGUCUGGAAGCCCUAGUCUUCAUUCUACCCAAGACUGGCUCCUGCUCAUCCUUCAGGUCUCAGCCUUUUUUUUUUUUUUUUUUUGGGGGGGUGGUAUUUCUGUUUGUUUUUCUUUACAAAAGUGUUUUAUUAUAGUUGAUUUACAACGUUCUAUCAAUUUCUGCUGUAUAGCAAAGUGUCACAGCUGUACACUUAUAUGCAUUCUUUUUUUCACAUUAUCCUCCAGUGCACGUGAUUAGACAUAGUUCCCUGUGCUGUACAGCAGGAUCUCAUUGCUUAUCUAUUUCAAAGGCAAUAGUUUGCAUCUACUAACCUCAAAUUCCCAGUCCAUCCCCCUCCCUCCCGCUCCCCCUUGGCAACCACAAGUCUGUUCUCCAUGUCUGUGAGCUUGUUUCUUUUCUGUAGAUAGAUCCAUUUGUGCCAUAUGCAGAGAGAGAGAGAAAGAAAGAGAGGGGGGAAGAGAGAGAGAGAGGGAGGAAGAGGGAAGGAAAGAGGAGGAGUUGAUGGGAGACAGAGAGUGUGAACCCUGAGGCUUGCGGUAUUCAGGGAGGACUUCCUGGGAGAGGGGGGCAUUUAGGCAGGCCCUCCAAGAAAGAUGGAAUGGGGACACACAGAGGAGGGGAGAGCAGAACAGGCAUUUAUUUAGCAUCCAUCAUGGGAUGGAUAUUUCAUUUAUGUUAUUUAUUUAAUCUUCACAACAACCCUGCUGUGCAGGUGAGCUGAAGCUGCAGUCGUGAGGUGCCCGGGCUGUGAUCCUAGUGGGAUUGGAACCCAAGCCUGUUUGCAGGAAAAUCCCCAUUCCCUUCCUCCAGGCCCGUGCCUUAGGGAGGGGGCAGGGUAGCGGCAGAGGGGUUGUCAACUGGGGAACUGAGGCAGACCUGUCUGGAUGGGUAUAGGCUGGUGCAGAGGAGGAGGCAAAGCUGGGGCUCGGAAAGGGCAUGGCGUGCCAGGCUCCAGGGUUUGGACCCUGCAGUGGGAGCCAUGGAGGGCUGGGGGGCAGGCGUGAUGCUUGCAAGGGAGCCAUCCAGUGUCCUGCCUCUCUGGGACUUUUCCUGCCCCCACAUGGGCCAUCUCCCCCCAUGUCAGUCUUCCUCGGAUUCAGCUUCCUCAGUGUGCGCCCAGGGAGGGCACAGGACGAGUCCAUCCUGCUUGACAUUUGGGGUCCUUGGGGCAAGGGGGCUUCCACUCUUGGGACAGGUGCUUGAUGGGACAGAGACCAGGCUGAGAUGCAGACAGUGGCCCUGGAAUCCUGUUGCUCUCCAAGGAUCUCAGAGCUGGUUGCCUUCCUGCUGUGACGAGCCCGCCACCCUGUCCCAAUCCUUCCUGAGGGGCCAGCCCCCAACUGCGCAAAGGGGCCUUGGAGGCAAAUGAGGAAGGACCACAAAGUAUCCAGAUGAAGACAGAUGUGGACUUACUUGGGGUGUUUCAGAUUUUAGGGUGAAGAUUCAGUUCUGAGUCUUCACUCUUCUUCAUUUUAUUCCCAUGGCCUGAGAUUUCUCCCCCAGUCUAAGCUGGCCACGUUCAGCUCUUUCUUUCUCAACUUUCAAGUAACCCCUCCCCCAGUGUCUCUCUCUCUCUCCAUGUUUUUAAGCUACAGUCACAGUUUGGCACCUGGCACAACAGGCUAAUCUCAAACGUGGAAAGGGUUCGGAUGUGUAUAACUGGGCGGGGUGGGGGAGAGUCUGGGACACUGGGCUAAUAAGCAAGGUGUUUGGAUUUAAUUCUCUUGGCCAGCAGUCUUGGAACCACGCACUGAGAAUGAUGUGGUCACCUCUGGGGUGCAGACCUGAGUGUUGGGUCUCCCUGGGGACCUCCCUACUGGCUCCCUUGAGCUGCCUUUGAUGUCCCCAAGUGUGUGACAGGUUUUCUCAAGGCAUCUAGAGGGCGUGGUUUUUGGAAAGGCUGGAGUCCCUUGGAACCAGAAUGCCAGGGACACCAUCAGGAAACUCUGGGCAAGUCACUCCCCAUCCCCAGGCCUUGGUUUUCUCCUUAAGCUGGGGCCUGGUCCCAUCCACCCCGGAUCGGGGGUCAGGUGGAGAGGGACCUGCGGGGCUGAGUUAACGUUAGCGCUUCUGUGUCUGUGUGCAGAAGCCUUGCCGAGGGCUCAGCCGAGGGCGGCAGAGGGAUGUCAGUGACUACACCGUCGGCGUGUAGCAAACCCUCCUCUUUACCAGGCCUGGAUGUCAGGGAAGCUGUCUUCCCCAGAAUAAACAGAAACCAUGGCAACCAGGAUGCGUCACGUGGGCCAGCAGCCCAUCCCGCUGCCGAGGGCCAGGCGGAGGGCCUGUCACAGAUGCCCACCAGAGGUGGGGUGACCCACAGGGACCUCCUGAGCCCCACCCCUCCCUGCCUGAGAUAGAACUGAGCAGUUCUGGAAAAAUCAGUCCUGAUUUGGGGUUUCUAUUCCACCUCCAAUUUUACUGUUUAAUUUUAUUUUUCAGUCUUGUUCCAGAAAGCAUGUCUUGAAUAAGUUGGAGCAAACCUCCCUGGCCUUCCUGUCCCUCAGUCAUCUGCUGAUUGACGCCUUGGAAGGAUUUGCCACGAUGAUGCAGGGGGCGGGCACCAAUGUGGUGGCAGAUCUGUACUGGGAGGGUGGGUGGGGGCUGCAUGGGCACUGCCAGUGUCCCCAGAUAUGCAGCGAGGUGCUGGCAUUAAUACUGCACUGUACGGAGAGGCCCACCCUCACCCAGGGUUCACAGCUAGUAAGUGGCAGAGCUGGGAUUCGAACCUGGGUCUUCGUGCUUCAAACUCAUUUCCACACUGCCUUUGGUGAAUUGGGCACUCAGCCGUCGGUGUGGCAGGGAAGGGGGAGUCGAUUUGCUCCCCGUGAUCUGUGAUCCCUGCGCUCAGCACAGAGGGGUCCAGUGUGGUGGAGGGGCAGCUGAGAUGGCCUUGGAGAUGGAAGGUUCUUUGGUGCUCAUGGUUUUGCCUGGCAGCCUUCUUUUGUGUCUCUGGCAGGAGUAGACUCGUGCCCUGACUUCUAGAAGUGUGGCCUUGCCUUGGCUGGAAGUUGGGAGAGGGAGCCCCUGUGUCUGCCGCCAUUCAGACUGGACAGUCAGAGCCCACGCUUGGCGAACCCUUUGUCUCUUGGAACCUCAGGUCCUUAUCUGUACAAGGAGGGACUAGGUGACUAAGCUGACAGCAUCAUGGUAGUGAGCAGGGGUGGUAGAGCGCGGAACUUUAGUAGUUGUAAUCCUGGCUGUGACACCUACUAGCUGUGCACAUCUAGUAAGUUACCCAAACGCUUUGUGCCUCAGUUUACUCCUCUGUAAAAUGGGGAUCACAGUUGCACCUACCUAAUAGGGUCAUCAUGAGGACCACUGUUGUACAUGCAGGAAGCGGCACCUGGGACAGAGUACGUGCUGCUGUUAGUGCUGCUUGAUGGAGCUGUUGGGAAGUUAGGGUGGGUGUAGCAGGACCUGUCGUGCUCAGCAGGAUUUUUUCAGGAAGGAGAUGGUCAGACACUGUUAGUUUUUUUGGUCGAGGAGAAGAGGAAGGGGAUGAGGUCAGUGUGGAGGGCACCCGGGUAGACAGACCCCUGGGCUGGCAGCACGACCUUGGGCCCCCCACUUGACUUCUCCCCAUCUCGCUUUUGGUUUUUGCUAAUUUUCAGUCAUUCAUUCACAAGAACACGCACGAGGAUAUAAAAAUAUAUAGAAUACAUUAAAAAUUUUUCGAGCCAAGGGAAAUAUAAAAUAGAACAAAUUCUAGGUGGAAAAUGAACACGUAUGUUGGCCUUGAGCUCUAUAGUUCUUGAAAUUGGGGAAUUCCCAUUGUGGCUCAGUGGGUUAAGAACCCAACUCAUGUCCAUGAGGAUGUGGGUUUGAUCCCUGGCCUGGCUUGGUGGGUUAAGAACCUGACUAGGGGAGUUCCUGUUGUGGCUCAGAGGUUAACGAAUCUGAGUAGCAUCCAUGAGGACGCAGGUUCAAUCCCUGGCCUUGCUCAGUGGGUUAAGGAUCUGGCGUUGCCGUGAUUUGUGGUGUAGGUCUCAGACGCAGCUCAGAUCCUCUGUUGCUGUGGCUGUGGUGUAGGCCAGCAACUACAGUUCCGAUUAGACUGCUAGCCUGGGAAACUCCAUAUGCCAUGGAUGUGGCCCUAAAAAGCAAAACAAAAAAAACCCAACCAGUGUCCAUGAGAAUGUGCUUUGAUCCCUGGCCUGGCUCAGUGGGUUAAGGGUGCAGCGUUGCCACAGGCUAUGGCAUAGGUUGCAGAUGCAGCUCCCAUUCGACCCCUAGCCCAGGAACUUCCAUAUACCAUGGGUGCAGCCUU